CCCCCCUGCCCCAAGUGCUUAGACCGAAGGCGGCGCUGCGCCACCGGGGGACGCCCUGGGCUCAUUUCUCUGACAGUCCUUCUACUAGGUAGGUGUAGGAUUACGAAGAGGAAGGCCUGAGAGGAAACAAGCAUUUUGUGAAUCCCUCCUUCCAAUAUGGAGAAAAUCCCACAAUGAAGUGCAUUGAGGCUGGGGCUAUUUCUCAUUCAUCUUUUUAUCUCUGGCACAGUGCCUGGCCCUGUGCUUCAUUUUCCUUGUCAACAAAAUGGGGAUAAUCACAUCUACCUUGGAAUUGUUAUGAGGAUCACAUGGAGAAACACAAGUGAAAUGCUCUGUAGAUAUAAAGCAUGUAUCAACGAUGAUCUUUCUCCCUGUUUCUCCACAUACAUAGAGAUAAAGAGGUCCCAAUUACAAGGUGGGAGAACCUGGAACAAGAAGGGAAUGAUCUGUACCUUUAAAAAGAGAAAAGGGGAGAAAAGAUGGAUUUUCUGAAUCACAUUCUGUGAGGAAUUCAAAUCUCUUGGAAGAACAGGAGAGAUACCCUUUUCAUCAAGUGGCCUGAUGAGGGAAGGUCACCUGGCGUGGAGCAGAAGAACUAUGAUGGCCUGUGGAGGCCCGCAGUGUGCUUCGGGAGGGCUGCAUGCUGCAGCCUUUCCCUCUGCUUCCAUAUGACUCUUCCAGGAGAGAUGGGUCAGUGAUGAGCGCAGCUAUGCCCAGUCCUAAGAGGGGUACUUUUCAGGGCUAAUGGUAGCCUUACUUUGACUUUCUCUUUUCCCUUUCUAAGGUAGCUGCUGACAUCUAAAAUUCUCAAAGUACAGAGGAGGAGUUCCUGGCCUCCACUUCCAUUCAAAAACCAUCCUGUGCAGAGGCCACUUCUUAUCUAGGACAUGCCAAUCUGCUGAAAGCAGGGAAAACUUGGUUUCAUAGCACGGUGAAGCAAAUCACCUCCAUGAGUAUCCAAUAUUCUCCAUAAACAGGUUUGAAAAGA
rnacentral:lncRNA from 1 species